rnacentral:rRNA from 1 species
UACGGGAGGCAGCAGUGAGGAAUAUUGGUCAAUGGACGAGAGUCUGAACCAGCUAAGUAGCGUGCAGGAUGACGGCCCUAUGGGUUGUAAACUGCUUUUAUACAGGGAUAAAGUAGGGAACGUGUUCCCUUUUGCAGGUACUGUAUGAAUAAGGACCGGCUAAUUCCGUGCCAGCAGCCGCGGUAAU